UACAGAGGUCUCGAGCGUUAGGCGGAAUCACUGGGCUUAAAGCGUGUGUAGGCGGAUCGGUAAGUACCUUGUGAAAUCCCACAGCUUAACUGUGGAACUGCUUGGUAUACUGCCAGUCUUGAGCCAGCUAGGGGCUACCGGAACAAAUGGUGGAGCGGUGAAAUACGUAGAUAUCAUUUGGAACGCCAAUGGUGAAAACAGGUAGCUGGGGCUGUGCUGACGCUGAGACACGAAAGCCAGGGGAGCAAACGGG
rnacentral:rRNA from 1 species